UUUUUUUUUUGUUUGCAGAUUGAAACUACCAAGCAGAACUAAGAGCAAAAUUUACUUUCCAUGAUUGCAGAAGACUAAGCUCCUCCUCCAUCACUUAAAUCGUUUUCCUUACCCAGCUCAACCAGUUCAAGCAAGGCAUUUGUAAAGACCAAGUAACAAUCAAAACAUAGAAUUGGACAAAGAUGUAUGAGGGAGUUGAAUCACUUAUUUACAUGUUCUUUUCUAUGGUAUCUUAGUCAUGCAGUUAUAAUAGCUUCUACUAGCAGAAGAUGUUUCAGCAACCAAGUCAUAAAUAAGUAGUGCCUUUUGACCGUCAUUUUGUAUGGUUAUCUUCGUGGAUGUAAUUUCAAUGAUAUUCAUUGUUCCUGAAUGCACAUACUGAAUAUAUAUGCUUCAAGUAGUAGGUAGUCUUUUAUGUUUGUUACUAUUUACUAAGGAUGGAACUUUUGCUUA